CCGAGCAUAGCAAGUGAACGGAGCACAGAGAGCUUGCUCUCGGGAUGACGAGUGGCGGACGGGUGAGUAAUGUCUGGGAAACUGCCUGAUGGAGGGGGAUAACUACUGGAAACGGUAGCUAAUACCGCAUAACGUCGCAAGACCAAAGAGGGGGACCUUCGGGCCUCUUGCCAUCAGAUGUGCCCAGAUGGGAUUAGCUAGUAAGUGGUGUAACGGCUCACCAUAGGAAACGAUCUCUGAACUGGUUUGAGAGCAUGACCAGAUCAUUUUUCACCUGAUAACUUUGCAUGACUCCACUCGGGGGCACUUGUGAGGUG
rnacentral:rRNA from 1 species